rnacentral:rRNA from 1 species
UACGUAGGGUGCAAGCGUUAUCCGGAUUCACUGGGUUUAAAGGGUGCGUAGGUGGGUAGGUAAGUCAGCGGUGAAAUCCCCGAGCUUAACUUGGGAACUGCCAUUGAUACUAUCUGUCUUGAAUACCUUGGAGGUGAGCGGAAUAUGUCAUGUAGCGGUGAAAUGCUUAGAUAUGACAUAGAACACCAAUUGCGAAGGCAGCUCACUACACGGUCAUUGACACUGAGGCACGAAAGCGUGGGGAUCAAACAGG